rnacentral:snRNA from 19 species
AUACUUACCUUGUUUCGCAUUCCCAAGAUCAAGCUGCUGGGAAUGCAGUGUGGAGGACCUGCAUUGCACAUCGCGGAGUCGGCUCCUUGCUCCAUUGUCCUUCGGGGCCAUGGGAGGCGCAAUUUUUGAUUUUUAU